CGGUGGAGCACGUGGUUUAAUUCGAUGCAACCGAAGACUUACCUGGGUUUGACAUGUGCGUGUUACUGAGGUGAAAGCCGAGGGACCAUAUCUUCGGAUGUGGAGCGUACACAGGUGCUGCAUGGCUGUCGUCAGCUCGCGUCGUGAGAUGUUGGGUUAAGUCCCGCAACGAGCGCAACCCCUGCAUUCAGUUGCCAACGGUAAGGCCGGGCACUCUGGAUGGACUGCCGGCGACAAGCCGGAGGAAGGUGGGAUGACGUCAAGUCAUCAUGGCCCUUAUGUCCAGGGCGACACACGUGCUACAAUGGCCGGCACAGCGGGAAGCGAGGGGGCGACCUUGAGCGGAUCCCUCAAAGCCGGUCUCAGUUCGGAUUGCAGUCUGCAACUCGACUGCAUGAAGUUGGAAUCGCUAGUAAUCGUGGAUCAGCCAAGCCGCGGUGAAUACGUUCCCGGGCCUU
rnacentral:rRNA from 1 species